GACGAACGCUGGCGGCGUGCCUAAUACAUGCAAGUUGAGCGAUGAAGAUUGGUGCUUGCACCAAUUUGAAGAGCAGCGAACGGGUGAGUAACGCGUGGGGAAUCUGCCUUUGAGCGGGGGACAACAUUUGGAAACGAAUGCUAAUACCGCAUAAUAACUUUAAACAUAAGUUUUAAGUUUGAAAGAUGCAAUUGCAUCACUCAAAGAUGAUCCCGCGUUGUAUUAGCUAGUUGGUGAGGUAAAGGCUCACCAAGGCGAUGAUACAUAGCCGACCUGAGAGGGUGAUCGGCCACAUUGGGACUGAGACACGGCCCAAACUCCUACGGGAGGCAGCAGUAGGGAAUCUUCGGCAAUGGACGAAAGUCUGACCGAGCAACGCCGCGGGAGUGAAGAAGGUUUUCGGAUCGUAAAACUCUGUUGGUAGAGAAGAACGUUGGUGAGAGUGGAAAGCUCAUCAAGUGACGGUAACUACCCAGAAAGGGACGGCUAACUACGUG
rnacentral:rRNA from 1 species